rnacentral:rRNA from 1 species
UGGACGUUACUCGCAGAAUAAGCACCGGCUAACUCUGUGCCAGCAGCCGCGGUAAUACAGAGGGUGCGAGCGUUAAUCGGAUUUACUGGGCGUAAAGCGUGCGUAGGCGGCUUUUUAAGUCGGAUGUGAAAUCCCUGAGCUUAACUUAGGAAUUGCAUUCGAUACUGGGAAGCUAGAGUAUGGGAGAGGAUGGUAGAAUUCCAGGUGUAGCGGUGAAAUGCGUAGAGAUCUGGAGGAAUACCGAUGGCGAAGGCAGCCAUCUGGCCUAAUACUGACGCUGAGGUACGAAAGCAUGGGGA